GUUAAGAUAGGUGUUUCCGAGUUUGGGCACGUCUUGUAGUUAGACUGGCCUCCGCCCACUCUGCCGGCGAUUUGAGUUUGCCCUGCUAAAUUGUCUGGAGAAGAACGGGUGAAAGGUUAUGUCAGAGCCUCCUGAAUUAUUGCUGUGUGGGUGUGAGUGGUUGUGUGACAAAAGUCGAGCGUUCGGGUCUUUUAAUGAGAUCCAAACAGAAGUGAUAACGUAGAUAACGUGCAUGGCAUGUAGGCCUACCCUAUCCACUUGUACACCACAAAAUACAGAUAGUGAGCCUAUUACACGUUAAGUCUUGGGAAAAGAGGAAAGUUUGAACUAUGAUAAGGCUUGGACAGUGUUGGCCAACAAAGGACCUUACCUUUAUGUAUUUCUUUUUUAUUAUUAUGUAAUGUAUGCCUGAUUCAGAAGUAAUUUGCUGAAUAGACAGGCUCAAAGUCUGUUUCAGAGCUAAAUAUUUGAAAAAAAAUCCUCUCCACAUCAUUAUCUACAUUGUCUAUCUGCCCACUAGUUCUGACGGCCAACAUAAUCUUACUAAAGCCAGAACUAAUGCUUUUCCUUUAUUGGAUGCAUAGGUAUAGGCCUAGAACAUCAGACACUUGUAAAAUGCUGUGUAACACAGAAAUUAUAGCUGUUAAAAAAGAAAGAAAAAAAAAGCGGAUUUAUGCAUAGGCUAUAAUUAUCAAUAGUUAAAGAAAAGCCAUUCCAGUUAAAUAUUCCAACAGCCGGAAUUGCAUCAUGUAACACAAGUGACCACAACAAGUGUGAAUGAUUUGUGUAUCUACUUUAUUGUUUUACAUCAUUCGAAACAAACAAUCACCAAUUUAAAAUGAUGUGUUUGUUUAUUCAAGGGAUGGGCUUUCUGAGAGAAAAAAAAAAAUCGAUAAAAGGAAGGUAAUUUUACUAAAAGGGGUCAACAUGAUAA